UGAAAUUCGCCGAGCUAUUUCCGCUAAACCUGACAUUUUGUUCACGCAUGCAGAUAUAGCCGCAAGCCAAAUUUAAUUUUGUGUUUGCCAGGGCUAACGAGGAAACUUGUUUGCCUCCCGACAUUGGAAAGGUGACAUGUUAA
rnacentral:ncRNA from 1 species